AUAAUACUCCCCCAUUUUCAAAAUUCUUGUCUUAGUUUGUUUAGAAAUGAAUGUAUCUAAUACUAAAAUGUAACUAGAUACAUUCAUAUCUACAUAAAUCUAAGACAAGAAUUUUAGGACGGAGGGAGUAAUUG
rfam:Hordeum vulgare subsp. vulgare, WGS project CAJW01000000 data, contig: morex_contig_233073